rnacentral:rRNA from 1 species
AACGAACGCUGGCGGCAUGCCUAACACAUGCAAGUCGAACGAUAUCUUCGGGUCUAGUGGCGCACGGGUGCGUAACGCGUGGGAAUCUGCCCUUUGGUUCGGAAUAACAGUUGGAAACGACUGCUAAUACCGGAUGAUGACGAAAGUCCAAAGAUUUAUCGCCAGAGGAUGAGCCCGCGUAGGAUUAGCUAGUUGGUGUGGUAAAGGCGCACCAAGGCGACGAUCCUUAGCUGGUCUGAGAGGAUGAUCAGCCACACUGGGACUGAGACACGGCCCAGACUCCUACGGGAGGCAGCAGUGGGGAAUAUUGGACAAUGGGCGAAAGCCUGAUCCAGCAAUGCCGCGUGAGUGAUGAAGGCCUUAGGGUUGUAAAGCUCUUUUACCCGGGAUGAUAAUGACAAUACCGGGAGAAUAAGCUCCGGCUAACUCCGUGCCAGCCGCCGCAGUAA